rnacentral:lncRNA from 1 species
CGGAAGGUGAGGAGAGAGAGAGAGAGAGAGAGAGAAGAAUGGCUGGGGCCAGGUGUUUUCUCCUAGACCAGCAGGAUGAGAAUAGGAGAAGGACCAUUAUUCCUUUACACAGGUGGGAAAGACUGAGGCCCAGAGAGGGCAGUCAUGCGCUCAAGACCACACAGCCAGUCAGCACAGUCAGGGAUUGGAGCCAGGACUUUCCCUGCUGGGCCAAGGGAGGACAUGGGAGGAAGGAGGGGCUUGGAGGGGGAGCCGUCGGCUGCCCCAGAGGACAGAUGAGGAAACCAAGGCUUGGGAGGAGAAGCGGCGCAUCCUGUGGCACACAGUAGGUGUGACACAAGACAGCUGACUCUGGCUUCCAGGCUCUUCCCACAGAUCUGCAGAGCUUCUGCCCUCCCAGCCCCACCUGCCAGGACUAGGUCCUCUCCGCCGGCCCUGCAGCUGCGUUCUCUGCCUCUGCUCUGUGGACUGAUGCCUCACACGAGCUCCCUGGCCUCUGGCUUCUGGUCUUCUUAAGUGAGGAGACGUCUCCAGCCUUGCUUCAAUACAUGCUUUCCAACUUCUGCACCUGUUCCACGGUUCCGUCCGCCUGAAGGCUCUCUCACUCUCCUCCAGAAAGACUUCCAUCUCCCUGCAGGGAAACUGGACACAUGGAGACAUUGAGCCACUGCCCAAAGUUACACAGGAAAGCCAGCUAUGUCAAUGUGGACACUCGAGCAGUCCUCUGGAGUGAGCCACAUGGUGAAAAAUGGAGUCCUCCUGCCACCAGCCAAAAGGGACUUGCCAACCUUGUGACUGAGCCGGCCCAGACACUCCAGCCCCAGUUAAACCUUUGGAAGACUGUGGCCUCACCAACAUCUUGACUGCAACUUCGUGAGAGACCCAGAGCUAGACCCAUGCAACUAAGCUGCUCCCCAAUUCCUGGCCCACAGACACUGGGAGAGAUAAUACAUGUUUAUUUCUGUUUGAAGCUGCUAAGUUUUGGGUAAUUUGUUUUGCAGCAAUAGGUAAUUGAUAGCAUUAGGAAACAUUAGCUAAUGCUAACAAUGUUUUGCAGAUGAGGGAAUUGAGGCAUAAAAGUAACUUGCCCCAGGUCACACAGGUAACAAGUCGUUUAAACCAUGGCAGUUUGGAUCUAUGUAAAGUUCAGUAAUAAAUUAGAAUCUCUCUUUUACAGGAAUCAGGACACUUUGCCUGCUCAGAGGGAGAGAGGGAAAGAGACAGAGACACAAACACAGAGAGACAGUGACAUGGAGAAGUGCGCCGUGGGCUCACAGUACCAUGUGAAGGACUGGGGCUGCCCUUCUGUAAAGUGAAGGCAGUGGAGAAGUGAAGUGAAGUGUAAGUGAAGAGGAAAGUGAAGGAUGGUAGAGAGCACCCUUGCCCUUGCAGCCUGGCUGUGUUUGGCUUGGGGCUGCUGGUCUCCGACCCUGGCUGGGCUGGUGACACAGCCUAAGGUACCUGGGGGUGGAAUCUGGCACCCCUGAGCAGACCCCUCCCUGGCUCUUGUCCCCCUGUGCUGACACUCUCUGUCCCAGGCUCUCUCUGCCUCCAGACCAGAGCUCCUCCAGGGAAAAGGUGGAGUCUUGUUCGUCUGUGUCCCUCACCUAGCAUAAGGCCUGCCAGAGCAGGCUGGGCGAGGUGAACACAGAAGGUCCUCUGGCCCUGGUACUGGAGAGGCAUCAUCACUGGGGACAGAGUGAGAACCAGGAUGAUGCUGUUUGUUACUGGAGGAGCUCCCAUUGGAUGGAGGAGCCAACAACGACAGGCCAGUGUGAUCAGGGAGAUUGGGACACACAGUGCCGUGGGGGCCCAGAGGAGCAGGGAGGAUCUCUGUGGAGGAGGCGAGAAGUCUUCCCAGAGGAGGAGGCAUUUGAGAAAUUAACCAGUUUAUGUGCCCUGAAAAAUUCCCACUUCCACCCUCUGGGUUCGCAUGCUGGCUCAGUCACUUACUAGCUGUGUGACCUCUCUGCUGCUUAGCUUACUCAUCUGUAAAAUGGGAUAAACACAAAACCUGCCUGAUGGAGAUGUCGUAAGGAUCAAAGAGGAAAAAGAAUUUAAAACAUUUAGAAUGGUGCCUGACCCCCAGCAAGUAUACAAUAAAUAUUGGCUAUUGUUGUUAUUUUAUG